rnacentral:rRNA from 1 species
CGAGUGACAUCCGCCUCUUAACAAUGAAUCAUCGCCGCAGCUCCCAAACUUUAACAGUUGGGUUGAUAUAUGGUCUAUGUUUUGCUUUUAUAUAUAUAUAUCUAUAUGGUGGAUGGUGGUGUAUGGCCGUUCUUAGUUGGUGGAGCGAUUUGUCUGGUUGAUUCCGACAACGAACGAGACUCUAGCCUAUUAAAAAGGUGCGUGGUUCUGUGCAGCUUGAAUCCUUCUUAGAGGGACAAGCGGCUCCUAGCCGCACGAAACAGAGCGAUAACAGGUCUGUGAUGCCCUUAGGUAUCCGGGGCCGCACGCGCGCUACACUGAAGGAAGCAGCGUGUUUUUAUCCCUGUCUGUAAAGACUGGGUAACCCGUGGAACCUCCUUCGUGAUUGGGGCUUGCAAUUGUUCCCCUUGAACGAGGAAUUUCCAGUAAGCGCGAGUCAUAAGCUCGCGUUGAUUAC